rnacentral:lncRNA from 1 species
AACUUUGAGUAACUUUUGUUUCCAUUACGUGGAAAUGAAAUGCAAUGUUACAUGCAGAAAUUUUCAUGCCUGCUCUUACGAAGUUACAAACAUGGUGAUAAUGGUCCCAACCCAAGAAGUUGUUGUAUUCCUAAUUCAUUUUCCCUAUUUCACAAACACCAAACCAAACCUUCACUCUCAAGCCAAACUCCACUAAACAAUGUUGAGCCUUUUCUUAAUUCAAC